GUACCAGGCACUGCUUAGGCACGCGAGACACGGAUGUUUAAUAUUCAUGAGGUGACGUAACAACGGAUACAAGGAAGUUUUUUUAGAGGUCGGUGUAUUCAGUCUUGUUCCCUUUAAAACCUGAGAGGGAGGAAGAUUGAAUGCUGCUGAAGUUUGCUGCUUCACAGAAAAGCUGGUGGAAAUGCAGAGUCAUCCCCCCCCACACUAGUAUGCAUGAAUAGAUUCGAAAGGGCUCAGUCUUUCAGGAUUCAACAGUGUGAAGAAAGCUGGCUGCCAUCGAGACCAGAGGAAGGACAUGUGAAGCGUCCAGCUGAACCAUUUAUGCAAGAAUCUUUCAUCAGCUGUUUAUUCG